rnacentral:rRNA from 1 species
UACGUAGGGGGCAAGCGUUGUCCGGAUUUAUUGGGCGUAAAGAGCGUGUAGGCGGUUUGGUAGGUCCGCUGUGAAAACUCGAGGCUCAAUCUCGAGACGCCGGUGGAAACCAUCAGGCUAGAGUCCGGAAGAGGAGAGUGGAAUUCCUGGUGUAGCGGUGAAAUGCGCAGAUAUCAGGAAGAACACCCGUGGCUAAGGCGGCUCUCUAGUACGGUACUGACGCUGAGACGCGAAAGCGUGGGGAGCGAACAGG